GACGAACGCUGGCGGCGUGGAUUAGGCAUGCAAGUCGAACGGUAUCAUCCUUUCGGGGGUGAGAGAGUGGCGAACUGGUGAGUAACACGUAGGUUAUCUACCCUCAAGACGGGGACAACCCAGGGAAACUUGGGCUAAUACCGGAUGUGAGCAACUUUUAGUUGUUUGAAAGGUGGCGUAAGCUGUCGCUUGGGGAUGAGCCUGCGUCCUAUUAGUUAGUUGGUGAGGUAACGGCUCACCUAGGCAAUGAUAGGUAGGCGGCCUUAACGGGUGGUCGCCCACACUGGGAUUGAGAUACGGCCCAGACUCCUACGGGAGGCAGCAGUCGAGAAUAGUCUACAAUGGUCGGAAGACUGAUAGUGCGACGCCGCGUGAACGAUGAAUCCCUUCGGGGCGUAAAGUUCUUUUAUAUGUGAGCAGUGCUUCUUAUAUUAACAGUAUGGGGAGAGAGAUAUUAGCAUAUGAAUAAGCAACGGCUAACUCCGUGCCAGCAGCCGCGGUAAUA
rnacentral:rRNA from 1 species